UUCUUUAUUUUGAAACAAAGAAGUAAGGAAAAGAGAGACACAAGUUUCUCAAGAACAAUGAAAGAUCAACUAAUCGCUCAAGAUCGAUCUAGAGAAUACCAUGGAUUCGGGUACUACCCUGACUAAUGUACUGUUUUUUGGAUGUUAUGUGAAAAUCAAUAAGUUUCACUAUCCUAAUGUCAUGAAUAGGGAUUUACAUUAGUUUGUUUAUGGUUUACUAUCAAUAAACCGUGAAAAUCCUUACAAAUUUUACUGUUUCUCAAAGCCUUUUUAAUAUGGUAAACAAUCCAUAUUCUAGCUUCUUCAUAUGUCUAAAUCUUAUUAGAGAAACCUUAACUACCACAAAAAUCUUCCAAUAAAUAACAAAAAUGCAAAGAAAGCUCACUAUAUACUAUCAAUUCAAUGAUAAUUCUCUUUGAAAUGACUGUUCAAAAAAAUGCUAGAGUUUUGAACAAUAUCCUCACCUGCAAUGGUGACAAUGCAGACAAGAACCCAUCGAAAGCUGAAGUGGAGGGCCAAACAUCAGCUGAAUCCUUAUGUCCUUUAGGAAGCAACCUCUUGUAACUCUGAAUGCACAAAAAUACAACCAAAUCAAACACAUUAACACCAACAGACCCAAUCUCGGAGGGCUUAGCGGUAACGAGAGGGUCAAAGACGGAGUGAAGAUUACAAACAAUGGUUUCAAGUACAAGUCAAACUUGGUCAGGCGAGAUCUGAAGGGACUCAGCAAUGGAUUCCAGGUUUACACGACAGGGACAAUAGCUUGUCCUUAAUCGGACCGUGUUCCGUCUGUGAAAAUUAGAUUUGGGAUCGGUAAUACGCCGUGUUCGAAUGGAUCUCUACGUGGGUGUAUGUAAGCUGGAGAGCCGGAUGGUGUCAUUGCGGGUGAUGGUGUUUCAUCAGAUUCUGUCAUUGAUAUUUGGCCGUAGAUUUUCAAAUAUUUUUGGGUGAAAAUUUGGGUUAAAUUUCACCAUGCUUUGGCCAUAAUAUUUAAGAAAUAUAUUUAACCUUUUUAAGAAAUAUGAUUUAUAUUCAUAAGUUUUAAAAACUAUUAAAACUAACCAUAGGUUUGUAUUAAUUGUGCAUGACUUUGUUACCCUAAGCUGAAUGUUCAUCAUUUUCAUCAAUAACCAUAUCAUCACUUUCAUAUUCACUGAAUAUUUCAUUACUACUUUGAUGUUCACGUAAAAAUUAUGUAAAACAACGCAAACAACUAUUAUAGAGGGUGUUCUUGUAAAAGAUGUAAGUUUGGUGUAGAAUUUGAAUUAUUUAAAGUUCCCAAAUAAUGAAACUUGGCCAAAUACUAGUUUUUUCUAGUAUUUGGGAAUUUGGGUUAUUUACCAAAAAUAUUUGUCAAAUAAUGGCAAAUUGUAUGGACAAACACUAUUUGUCAAUUUUUUUUUUCCAAAUUUUACUUGGGAAAUCUAUGGCCAAACGGAUCCUUAGACUAGUGUAUCUAUGAAAAAACUCUAAAUACAACAUGAAUAACAAUGUUUACUAGGACAAGGUCUCGACAUAGCCAUAAACAAACAAAGUUGAAUAAAUAAAGAUUAUGCCUCAAGAUCAAGUGAGACUCACCAAAACCUGAGUGUGGAAAACCUAGCAUGUAGCCCUGUCUUUGUGAAAGUCUGAACCUGCAUCGUGAAAUGUAGUGCCCAGACAAUGGGAUCAUAACUAAAUGUGGAACAGUACUUGUAUGUAGUAUAGCAUAUAAUGGAACAUUAUGAAUACAUGAAUAAAGGGACAACAAAAGCAAUAUUAAUAAGACAUGAAAAAGAAUCAAGUAACUCUAUCACUAGGUUGACCUCAACGUUUUGCAUGAUUAAUCAUAAUGUAUUUCUUUUUUGAGAAUUAAACACCAUGUAAGCACAUGUAGUCCGAUCUUGACCCGAUAGGCUAAGUUAUCACAUCAUCUAAUCGGGGUGAUGAGACUUAAAUAUCAUAAGCUAGAAUUUAGAAUGAUGCACAUAUUGUGGGUAACAUAGAGGAAUCAUUGAAUUAACGGUACCACCCUUAUCUAUGUUUUCAUGUGUUGUUUCGGGUGUUUAUCAUACAACUCAAGCCUUCUCAAUUAAAAAUAAUUUUCCCAACAUUUUAGUGAUAAAAGUUAGCUCAAUGACUCAUAAUCAUGAUUUGUUUUCAUCGUCAUUAGGAUCAUAGCAUAAAAUCAUCAAGUUCAUAUUUUUUGAUAAAGUACCAUAAUUCAUCAUUUAUUAUAUUUUUAUGCUGAGAACAAUAAAAAUCAUAGGAUAGACAUAUAAUAGAAAUCUAAGGACAACAUAAGGAGUACAUGACAUUCGUAGUAAGUGUAACAAUCUGGUUGGUCAUUUUUGGAAAUUUUCAUAAAAUUACGGAUUUACCCCUCCCUAUAUUGGCCCCGAUUCAUUUAUGAUGGUUUUUGAAAUUGUUUUGAGUUUUGAGCAAAACAUUGUGAAAUGUGAAGUCUAUAAAGUUUUUAAAAGCUAAAGUUGUUAAAAAGUGGUUUUCGAUGUCUUUUGGAGUUUCGAGUCUCGAAAUGGAGUUGUGUCGGUUUCAUCAGUCCCAAAAUGUAGAAAUUGGUCCAGGAGAGUUGUCGAUUUCAAAUUCGGAGUCUUUUUGAGGGUUUGAGGUCCUAAGUUGGAAAAUGUUGAAUUUUUAGCCUUUGAGUUGACUUUGGUCAACAUUCAGGGUUUAGAUGCACAAAUCAGAUUUCCAACAGUGAUAUUGGAUUUGGAGGAUGAUUUUAGGCCUAAGAGAGGUCAUGGUUGAAUUUUCAGAGGUCUCGAGCUUGAUUUGGUCUUUUUAGGCGUUAUGCUUGUUCAUUGUUACUUUCUAGAGUUUCGGAUUAAGAAGACAUCAGAUUAGUGUUUUGAUGGUUCCAUUGAGUCUGGAAUGUCGAGUUUAGUCAUGUAGCAUAUAUGGUUUGUGUGUAUGGGGUUCCGAAUGAAUCUCGAUGGUCCUUUUGGUGAAUUAUGUGCCUUAUGUGUUGUUGGUUCUGGUGUACCUCGCGUUCGCGAGGAUUACGUUAGCAAUGCCCUGGUCGUGUUUGCAAGGGAUCAGGAGACUUGAUCCUCACUUUUGCAAUGGUCUUCUCGCUUUCAUGACCUCCGCGUUAGUGAAGGCCGACUCGCGGAAGCGAGAGGUCCCUUUUUCCCGUGCUAGCUUUUUCAAAACAAAGGUACGUUCGCGAAAGAGAACUUGAAUUCACUUUUGCGAGAUCUGAGAGGAUUUUUUGUCCGAAAUUUCGGAGGAUUUCUCAAUUUUCUCUCAUUUUGAGUGUUGGAAAACCCUUGGAGGCGAUUUUGAAACAGAUUUUUUGUGGCGAAUCAUUUAGGUAAGUCUUUGUAAACCAAAACCUUCAAUUACCUAUGAUCAUUUGUGGAUUUUAACAUAAAAAAUUGGGAUUUUUGAUUGGCAAAUCGACAAGGUUUUCAUGAACUUGAGCUUUUAAGAAAAAUGGUGAUUAUGAGUUGAACAGAACUCCGUUUUCGAAAUGGUUUACACAAAUGGACUCCAAAUGCUUUGGGUAGUUUUUGGAAUCGGGUUUUUGAGUCGAUUUGACCCAUUUAUUCAAAUUGCUUGAUAUGAGUGUUGUUAGUUCCGAAAGCUCAUUGUGAAGACUUGUUUGACUAGAUUGUGUUGAUUUGGAUAUCGUUUGGAAGGGAAAACUCAAGUCUUGGAUUGAAUUGUGAUUGACUAAGGCAAGUGAACAUCUAAACCUUGUUAAAGCUUAUAGAAUCUUGAACUCACUUUCAUGUAUGUGUAGGGGAGUAAUGGGAAUGAGGUAAUUGUGCUUGUGCAUGAUUUUUUGUGAUUGUUGGUUGGCUCGAGUUCUACGUUGGUACACUAACUAUGAAUGAUUCAAGUACCAAGUCGGUACACUAACUAUGAAUGACUUAGGUACCACACCGAUACACUAACUAUUUGUGCUUGGGUUCCGUGAGAGGACCAGGUAUGUGAUUGUGGUUCCAUGAGUAAAUCGGACAUUUGCAUUGUGAAGAGAAAACCAAAAGAUAAGAAAAGAGAUGGAGAGAGAAAAAACACUUCAUUAAAGUAAAGGAUUAGAACGGAAAUGAAGUGUUCUUGUGAGUUGUGAUGGAGAGAUAAAAAACACUUUCUUUUGUCACGUGAGUUGUGAUAUUCUAGGCAGCCAAAUAAUAUUGUAUUGCUGUAAUGUUCCUGACACUUGACAUUAAUGAAAAGUCUGUUUAUAUUUGUAACUAUCUUCAGUAAAAGGAUUGAAAUUGUUUUGCUUAAUUAAAGGUUAAAUGAGAAAAGUCGAAUAUCACAUGGAUUAAAAUCAUAAUAAGAUCAUAACACAGGGACAAAAAUAAUUAUUUUUCCGGCAAACAAAUGGGUUAAGGGGCAGAUUGUGAGAAAUAUAUAAAAAGAUAUGUGAAGAAUGGGUUAAACAAGUGUUGGGGUAUUAUUCAUUAGUUUUGUUACACAUAAAUGAAGGAAGCCAUACUAAGAUUGCAAAAUUAAUUAAUAAAAAAAGAAAUGCAAAACAUAGUUUUAUUUAUGGGUAUGGAAGGGUAGCAAUAUGGUUAUGAGCCACAGUCCCAAUCCAUAGCUUGCCAUUUAUUUCUCUAACUUCACUAACCAACUUCAUAACUACACCUUUUUUAUCUUGAAGAACAUCAAUAAUUUCUCCAUUUUCAUUGAAGAGUGAUAUAACAGUGUACAUUUUCAUCCCCAUCAAUCUAGCCAGGUAACGCAUCUGAAUUGGUAAUCUAAAGUAAAUGCUUCUCAUCCAUGGAUUGUUUAUCAGGACUUCUUGUGCACGAGUUCUACAACAAUCUAUUGCAACCCAAAAUUGACCUUUUUCGUUCACCCUUACGUUGUCUGGAAAUCCUGGAAGGUUUGCAACAAUCUCAACUAUCCCUCUCUUUGGACCUUCUAUCCAGUAUUUCAUCAGCCUGAACACAUAACAUCAAGGUAUUAUAACAAAUAUUUGUUGUCUCCGUGAAUCAAACGUUUAGGUGAUUUACUUCUGAAUUAAACAAACACUUGUAGGAGGGAUGGAUACCUGCAAUUGGUUGUUUCAGUGAAGAGAAGAAAAGUUUGAUCCUUGGAUAAUUGUACUCCAUUAGGGAACGUCAAUCCAUCCAAAACAACAUGAGUAGAUUUCGUAGCAAUAUCGUACCUAAGAAGUCUACCACUGUCUUCUCCUUCUAACAUUAUGAGAAAAUGAUUCCUACAUAAGAAAUUUAUAUAAUGAAAGAAGAGUAAUAUAAACCACUACAAUUGUAGUAUUUGAUAAAAAAGAUUUGUUAACCUACACUCUGUUGUAUUUCUUGCUAGUGUCCGUGAAGAAGAUGGAGCCAUUUGUAUGGAUAUCAAGGUCGUUGGCGAAGAGUAUUCGGUUCCCUUCAACAUGUGUAGCCAAGGACGUUGCCACGCCUCCUUCAGGACCCAC
rnacentral:lncRNA from 1 species